GUGGUGAGAUCUCUCUCCCAGAAAGAAUGACAAGGCCUGAAAGGAGGAACGGUAUGUGCCGGUCUCCGUCGUGUUAAGAGGGAGGCGGGGCGUGCAGCGGGGCUACCAUAGCGGGGCGCCGGACCCCGCACCUCUCGCGUUUUCUUUUUUUUCUUUGUCACAGCGCUGGGGGGGGGGGGGGGGGGGAGCAAGCUCCAUGCGUCAGUUCCCGCCAAAUUGUAGCUCUUUCGAGCGAGGAGGUGCUGAAACACUGCACAGAGACGGGCAAGCACUCAGAGGCAUUUCGUUUGCCUUGAUCCUGGAGGCGGCCUUCUCCCAUUGCUGAGGAUUUGAAGCGAACUCCUGGCAGAUCAGAAAUGUUCAGGCGAACGGCGGUUAUAUUUGUCCGUGGACCCAAGACUUCGUUGACGGGCAAAUAUGGAACCCUGCAACAAGGACUGUAGUGUGAAUAGCGUGCUGCGCUGCUCUCGCCAACUGAAAAGAACUCUGGUAAGAUGCAUGCUUGGUUACGAAAGUCUCACGCAAUCGCUUUUCACAUUGAAUUUGGUCGCAGGUGUGCUGUAAAUGCCGACUGCACAAUAUGUGACUGGCCCGCGGCUGCUUUGAAGGUAAGAUUGUGUUCUCAUUAUUCUAUUUAUUGUACCAUUUGUUUUCCAGUGACAUAGCCAACAACGAAAUCCAUCCUCUCUCCACAUAUUAUCUAGUCUGUGCGCUGUGGAGCUUGAAGCACUUCUCGGAAUUUCAGCACACUCGCAUUUAUUUUUUUCCCGACAGAAGAAAAAUGCAAGUCUAACAUCUCGACGGUAAAACGUCGCAUCUGCGCACAGGGCCAAGAGCACGAGAAGUGGCCGAAAGAAGGGAACCGAUCCAACAGGAAUGCCGUCCGUCUUUAUAUUUAUAUAUGUCAGCGUUAUCAUGCCGUGAUCACAUGGACUGUACGGUUGCGUUGCACAAGGGCUGAUGCAAACGCUCCGUGCGAACAAUGUUGCAUGGAAAAUUAGUGCAUCUAUACAAUUGCAAAAUAAAGAUCUAAAGAGAGAAAACUUAUAUUCACGUCUUUCUUUUAUUGCGUGUUACGUAUUAACACGUUAACAAGUGCAGACCCUUAGAGGCGUUUAAUUCCGUCUUACAUGUGCACUCUGCCCGUAAUUAAUUCAGAUAGAGUUAAACGCCUCUAUA